GACGAACGCUGGCGGCGUGCUUAACACAUGCAAGUCGAACGGAAAGGCCCUGCUUGCAGGGUACUCGAGUGGCGAACGGGUGAGUAACACGUGGGUGAUCUGCCCUGCACUUCGGGAUAAGCCUGGGAAACUGGGUCUAAUACCGGAUAGGAGCCAUUUUUAGUGUGAUGGUUGGAAAGUUUUUUCGGUGUAGGAUGAGCUCGCGGCCUAUCAGCUUGUUGGUGGGGUAAUGGCCUACCAAGGCGGCGACGGGUAGCCGGCCUGGGAGGGUGGACGGCCACAUUGGGGCUGAGAUACGGCCCAGACUCCUACGGGGGGCAGCCGUGGGGAAUAUUGCACAAUGGGCGCAAGCCUGAUGCAGCGACGCCGCGUGGGGGAUGACGGCCUUCGGGUUGUAAACUCCUUUCGCUAGGGACGAAGCUUUUUGUGACGGUACCUAGAUAAGAAGCACCGGCUAACUACGUG
rnacentral:rRNA from 1 species